UGGGGAAUUUUGCGCAAUGGGGGAAACCCUGACGCAGCAACGCCGCGUGAGUGAUGAAGGCCUUCGGGUCGUAAAGCUCUGUCAAUGGGAAAGAAAUGUAUUUUGGUUAAUACCCAUUAUACUUGACGGUACCCAUAAAGGAAGCACCGGCUAACUCCGUGCCAGCAGCCGCGGUAAUACGGGGGGUGCAAGCGUUGUUCGGAAUUAUUGGGCGUAAAGAGCGUGUAGGUGGUUUUGUAAGUCUGAUGUGAAAGCCCUGGGCUUAACCUGGGAAGUGCAUUGGAAACUGUGAGACUUGAAUACAGUAGAGGGUAGUGGAAUUCCUAGUGUAGGAGUGAAAUCCGUAGAUAUUAGGAGGAACACCGGUGGCGAAGGCGGCUACCUGGACUGAUAUUGACGCUGAGACGCGAAAGCAUGGGUAGCAAACA
rnacentral:rRNA from 1 species